UACGUAGGGGCCGAGCGUUGUCCGGAGUUAUUGGGCGUAAAGCGCGCGCAGGCGGCCUCGCGCGCCCGACGUGAAAGCCCCCGGCUUAACCGGGGAGGGUCGUUGGGGACGGCGGGGCUUGAGGGCGGGAGAGGGUGGUGGAAUUCCUGGUGUAGCGGUGAAAUGCGUAGAUAUCAGGAGGAACACCGGUGGCGAAGGCGGCUUUCUGGACAGUAACUGACGCUGAGGCGCGAAAGCCGGGGGAGCAAACAGG
rnacentral:rRNA from 1 species